rnacentral:rRNA from 1 species
AAUAUUGGACAAUGGGGGCAACCCUGAUCGAGCCAUGCCGCGUGUGUGAAGAAGGUCUUCGGAUUGUAAAGCACUUUAAGUUGGGAGGGAGGGUGUUAGGUUAAUACCCUGAAGUUGUGACGUUACCAACAGACUAAGCACCGGCUAACUCUGUGCCGGCAGCCGCGGUAAUACAGAGGGUGCAAGCGUUAAGCGGAAUUACUGGCCGUAAAGCGCGCGUAGGUGGUUCAGUAAGAUGGGUGUGAAAUCCCCGGGCUCAACCUGGGAACUGCUUUCAUAACUGCUGAGCUAGAGUACGGUAGAGGGUAGUGGAAUUUCCUGUGUAGCGGUGAAAUGCGUAGAUAUAGGAAGGAACACCAGUGGCGAAGGCGACUACCUGGACUGAUACUGACACUGAGGUGCGAAAGCGUGGGGAGCAAAC